AACAUUGGACAAUGGGGGCAACCCUGAUCCAGCCAUGCCGCGUGUGUGAAGAAGGUCUNCGGAUUNUNAAGCACUUUAAGUGGAGNAGUAGGGCCUUAGGCGAAUACGCGUAAGUUUGGACGUUACCAACAGAAUAAGCACCGGCUGACUCUGUGCCAGCAGCCGCGGUAAUACAGAGGGUGCAAGCGUUAAUCGGAAUUACUGGGCGUAAAGCGCGCGUAGGUGGUUCAGUAAGAUGGGUGUGACAUCCCCGGGCUUAAACUGGGAACUGCUUUCAUAACUGCAGAGCUAGAGUACGGUAGAGAGUAGUGGAAUUUCCUGUGUAGCGGUGACAUGCGUAGAUCUAGGAAGAAACACCAGUGGCGAAGGCGACUACCUGGACUGAUACUGACACUGAGGUGCGAAAGCGUGGGGAGCAAAC
rnacentral:rRNA from 1 species